rnacentral:tRNA from 1 species
AAAAACGUAAACAAGAAUGAUUUGCAAGAUUCGCAUUCAUGAGGUCGAGGGUUCGAAUCCCUUCGUCUCCACCA